CCUUAAAAAAAAGAUAUUGACAACUUAGCAGAACCAGCCUGUCCAGCAAAGUGACACAGCGAUUGCUCUUAAGUUUGCUGUUUCUAAAUUACUCACUGGGAAAGUGAUCCAAAUGUUCAAACCCUUCAUUCUGUCUUAAAUCACGUUCAUGAGAACACAGAUAUCCCUCCUUGUAAGUGCAGUAUUAUUAGGAAUAACACUUAUUAAGAGUAAAGAGCCUGAUAAUAUGAGAAGCGUUAGAUGAACAGACUGGAAUUGCUGGGCUCUGUCCUGACAAACAAGAAGGGACAGUGUUUCAACUGCUGCUGCAGAUAGAAAGAAAACGACAGCGUCUCCUUCAGCAGCCAUGAUAUUAACAUAGCUUAGCAUCACAGAUGGUAUGAUUAUGUCACACCAAUUAUUUCACCUAUCAGCCAAUAUCCAAACAGUCAGACAUCAUCUCUGUUCUUUUAAGUAAAGAUCAACAAUCCUAUGCUCAGAUCUGUCACUCUUGAAUGAGGUAACCCACGGAUCAUCCGUACAAAGAAUUCAUUCAUGUAUUUUAGCCAUUGCUCUGCCUUGCCCAUCUACCUGAUGUAGAAACUACCGCUAAUGCAAACCAAGAUCACACCAAAUCCUUACAUUUUCCUCUUUUUGCUAAAGCUUGGCCGGAUCUUUGCAACUUUUGGAUACAAGCCAGCACAGAUGACAGCUUUGAGCAACUUCUCGUUAUCUGUAGAAGACAGCAAAGUAAGUAACAUGGUUCUGCGAACUGUGAAUCUGAAUGAUCAAAAGCUUUCAAUUUCCCCUCAGUAUUUACCCGAGUUGGUAUUAGACUUGGGAUCCUUGGGGUCUCUGCUAUUCACAAACCCAGCUGCAAGCAGAUGCUCGGCAAAUUGUCCUUUCAUGUUAUGCAGCAUCUAGGAAACAGCAACAACUGUCCCACAACAAUGCUGUGCAAAAAGGCUCUUCCCAUUCCCCAUCAACAUGUUCCUCAUCCACCCCACUCCCCAGGCCCCCUAACAGCCAGAACGUUACCUGGAGAGUAUUUGGAGACAGGAAAUAUUCCCAGCAAUAGUCUUUCUCUGUUCUGAAUCCACGACGACGAGUCUCUUCCCAGCCCUAUAAAUUCAAACCAUCAUUCAAAGGAAUCUUUUAGGAGAAUAUAUACUAACAAAAAUUAAAUGAAUAAAGACAGACCAAAAGACUGGAGGUCAACAAAAAGUCAUUUUUUUCCUCUGUGAGAAGGCAGACCCUUUCAACUCUCUGUAUUAUAUUACGUACACACACACACACACACACACACACACACACACACACACAGCAUUUGAGUAGAAAAACAACAUUUUUAAGUGGUGAGAAGUGAAACCUAGUGAAAUCUGUUUGAAAUUCAUUUGUUGGUAUUAGAAGUAAUAACUGUUUUUCCACACCAUUUAUUUAGUGGUCUCCUUGCCCAGUGCUACACAAUGAAGUCUCCAACACUUCUGAAGUCAGCCCCAGACUACGGCAGAGGACAAGCAGCACUGACUUAGUAACUUCUGAAGGGCUGCCACAGAGUUCCUCUCUCAUCAAACACAGGUUUAAAAAGCAGCAAGAUAGCCAUGAAGUUAUGUUUCCAACAGCAUAUCCAGAAGAAAUUUGGCUACUGAGUUGGAAAACAAGACCAGAAGGGUGAAAAUUAAUUUGGUUUUGUUUCUGUAGAAAUCAAGAAAUACUUGAGAGCAUAUGCUGAUGGGAUUUUUUCCUUAGAAUAAAGCAUAAAACCCAAAUAAAAGUGAAAGAGAAACACUGAAACAUUCUUACUGUGAAAGCAUUCACCACAGUUAAAUGAUCACUUUUAGUAUUCUUCGACAGCUCCUUUCUUCUUGCAUCUGCCACUUUCUCUUUGCCCUAAAAACAAUCUGAAUUUAGAAAAUAUUCAUGACUCACAUGCCAUUCCUCCAUCCACUUCUCUUUCCCAGCUUAAUGAACAUAUAUAAAGCAAUACUUCGUAUGCAGCAUGCACAAGAAGUAAUGCUACUUUCAAUGUUCUGUAGGCAAAUGUGUACAGUACGUCAUAGUAUGUGUAGGCAAUCAGUACUAAUAAAAAAAUACCAUUAACACAGAAGUGAAAUUAAAGUGCUUUUACACUACAACAUCUCAGUGGUAUCCUACAAUUCUUUUGAGAUGCUUAAAAUCUUAUUUGUAAUUCUUGCUUUAGAAACGUUACCAGAGGAAUGACAAAAGGGUCUUUGAAGCUAAGGCUUGCUGCAAUCGUAAGUACUGGAUCCAAGCAACAGAACAAAGCUCCAAAGAGGAUCAUUUUUCCAAUAUGUGGUUCAACUGGUAAUCGUGCUAAAUGCACACCGAGCGGAGUCAGCUCCUCUUGUCUGUCCAAAGCAUUCUGUCAGAAGAAAAAACAAAACAUCAGUGAUAUUUGAAGUCGGAGGAUUUUCUUGAAACAAUCAUUGGAAAAUUUAGAAAACAAAGGGAAGCCUGGUAUCGGGAAAAGGUUAACAAGGGGGUAGAGGUAGGAAAAUGACCGUGCAAGUUAUGCAAAAAUAGAAACGUUCAAGAGGUACAAUAAAAGAGCAACCACCUUCAAUGGUGUUUCAGGUGGUUUACUGGGCUCAGUGUCCUUCUGUACAAAAGUAUGAAGACUAAUUAACAUUUGAGUGUCUUACUGGUUUUUUUUGGCCAAGCAUUUUUUUCAGAUCUGUAUCUUUCUAUAACUUCUGGUUUUUAUUUCCUUUACUCUUUGCUACUACACAGCCUUGACAAGGCAAGGAGUCAGUAGUAUGCAUGUGUCAUUGAUCUCUCUCUCCCCAUCAUCCAAAAGCACACUGACAGAUGAGAUCUUUCGCAUAUUUGCCCACAGAAAAAUACAUCUCCAACCCUCCACUGAACUGGCUGGAACUCUUGCUAUAAUCAGACAUGAGCAGGGUUUUACAGAACUACCCAGGUAAGAACCUGUAGGGAAUCUAAACAGGAGUUGUGCCACGUGUUUUCAGCAAUUCAGGAACUACUUUAUGUAGCCCAUAAACUUCCAGUAUUAUGUGAAACUGCCUUCUCAGUUCAGCCAAAUGUCAGAACACUGUACAGUCUGAAGAUAUAAAGGAUCUGCACAAUACAGUGUUUCAAAUGUCUAGACUUGUGCAGACAGAAUAAUCUUUCUAGUAAACAACAAAAACUACAAUUUGACCGUAAACAGUCUUUGUUGCAUGCAUGAAACAGCAUGUUAAUUAAUACUUUACCAGCUCCAUUAGAUGAUUAAUGGCCAGCAUUACAGCAUCACGAGAUGGCGGAUCCAUUAGUUUACUCAGAAAAUAAGCAAUUCCACCAAGCUUUAGAAUCUGGAAGAAAGCAAACAAACAAAAGAAGAGCAAACCUGCAGCAAUUGGAGAAAGGUGGCUACCUACCUAAAAGUAGUGCACGGUGACCACGCUAAUGACAAAAAGUGUAAAUACUUCAGUUUGAAAUUAGGAUUUCACUAAUUAAGAAGUAAGGACAGAAAUAGAAAUGUUCUCAUUGAAAAUUUUAAUCACAUCGAUACUACUUCAUUCACAACAUACACACAUGGUACUCCUUAGGUAUGCACUGGAAUUCAGUAUAAACUUGCGAAAAGGAAACUCGUGUCUACUUUAAAAGAACUGUUCUUAAAGAAUCCUCUUCACUCAUUGGCAUUUCCACAGAAGCACCUCUGAUUAAAUCUUUUUUUUUUUUUUUUU